ACACUCCCAUAGACUUCCAUAGGAAACAAUGGCGGCGCUUUUUCCAGGCUACUCCGGCGUUAUGCAGAGCUCAAAAGUUCCUAACUUUGACAUUCACGGCUUUAGCCCCAUCCACUUGCUUUCUGCCUGAUAUUGUCAGUGGACCAAGGAUGCAGAGGACCAGAAGGGUGUGCGAUAUAUGACUGGAAUGGUCAGAUACGAUCAUUUUUUAUGUUUGAGGUCCACACGAUGGGGCCCUUACACAAAUGGAGUUGUGUUGAUCCAGCAUCUUCCACACCUUCCAUAACACUCCCGACUCCAGCCAAAUGUGUUGCAUCCUCCUUACCAUGUCCAUCUUAUAGGUGUACAGAGUACACAGAGGGCUAGCCAUCCCUUCCACAUUGUGUCUUUUGUGUAGUUCACACACAAUUGUUGUUCAAACUUUGGAAACUGAAAUCUUUUUAUUUUUUGAAAACCUAAAUGAGUGCCAGACCACCUUUUUAUGUUGCAGUGUCACCAUACCUUUCUCCCAGUCUUUUUUGCAUUUGUUCCUGUUCUUGUUUUAAACACACAUUGAAAACUUAAUAAAAAUUCUAUUGAAAACCUAA